GACGUAGGGGACGAGCGUUGUCCGGAUUUACUGGGCGUAAAGGGCGCGUAGGCGGCCACCGCAAGUCGGUUGUGAAAUCUCUGGGCUUAACCCAGAAAGGUCAACCGAUACUGCGGGGCUAGAGUGCAGAAGGGGCAACUGGAAUUCUCGGUGUAGCGGUGAAAUGCGUAGAUAUCGAGAGGAACACCUGCGGCGAAGGCGGGUUGCUGGGCUGACACUGACGCUGAUGCGCGAAAGCUAGGGGAGCGAACGGG
rnacentral:rRNA from 1 species